rnacentral:rRNA from 1 species
UACAGAGGUCUCAAGCGUUGUUCGGAUUCAUUGGGCGUAAAGGGUGUGUAGGUGGCGCCGUAAGUCGGGUGUGAAAUCUCGGGGCUUAACUCCGAAACUGCAUUCGAUACUGCGGUGCUUGAGGACUGGAGAGGAGACUGGAAUUCCAAGUGUAGCGGUGAAAUGCGUAGAGAUUUGGAGGAACACCAGUGGCGAAGGCGACUUUCUGGUCUGUAACUGACGCUGAGGCGCGAAAGCGUGGGGAGCAAACAGG